rnacentral:rRNA from 1 species
UACGAAGGGGGCUAGCGUUGCUCGGAAUCACUGGGCGUAAAGCGCUCGUAGGCGGAUCUUUAAGUCAGGGGUGAAAUCCUGGAGCUCAACUCCAGAACUGCCUUUGAUACUGGGGAUCUCGAGUCCGGAAGAGGCGAGUGGAACUCCGAGUGUAGAGGUGAAAUUCGUAGAUAUUCGGAAGAACACCAGUGGCGAAGGCGACUCGCUGGACAAGUAUUGACGCUGAGGUGCGAAAGCGUGGGGAGCAAACAGG